AUGCAUGUCUAAGUAUAAGCAAUUAUACCGUGAAACUGCGAAUGGCUCAUUAAAUCAGUUAUCGUUUAUUUGAUAAUACCUUACUACUUGGAUAACCGUGGUAAUUCUAGAGCUAAUACAUGCUGAAAAUCCCGACUUCGGAAGGGAUGUGUUUAUUAGAUAAAAAACCAAUGCCCUUCGGGGCGUUUUGGUGAUUCAUGAUAACUUUACGGAUCGCAUAGCCUUGCGCUGGCGACGGUUCAUUCAAAUUUCUGCCCUAUCAACUUUCGAUGGUAAGGUAUUGGCUUACCAAGGGUUCAACGGGUAACGGGGAAUAAGGGGUCGAUUCCCGAAAAGGAGCCUGAGAAACGGCUACCACAUCCAAGGAAGGCAGCAGGCGCGCAAAUUACCCAAUCCCGACACGGGGAGGUAGUGACAAUAA
rnacentral:rRNA from 1 species